GAGCAAAAUGCUAAAAAGAAAAUGUGCAUUCAUCCUAACUGGGGAUGGCUCUUACCUCGGAGUGGCCAGAGCUCCUUACUGAAGGGAAAUGCCGUCUUCAUUUGACCAGCAUUAAUUAAUGACAGGAUUUCCCAGCCAGUCCACACUUGGACUUGAAGUCCCAUUUUACAGGUGUUUCUAGCAGUCCAGGAAAACUGUGUAUUGUUCCUCCUCAAAGCCUCUUCGUGCCAUUUUUUGUUGAGGCAGAGAAAUGCUUCAGAGCCAUGUCAGUGCUUUUCAGCAUGCAGCCACAUGGACAAGCCGGCUUCAGGAGCUACAGGUUCCCAGAAGGCCACCUCCCAUCCCACAGCGAAGAAGAAGCUGAAGGCUCUUCUCACCCACUGCAGCCUCUCACCUUACCUCGCUUCUUUCCGAUAGCAGGCAGAAAGCCUGGCUUUAAAAGAGUUCAGACAGGAAGCAGCAAUGUUCCAGGAGGAUUUCUGAGUCCAUCAGAAGAGCAACUGGCUUCUCAAAGUGUAGAUUUCAGAGAUCCCUGAAAUAUUUGGCUGCACUGUUGGAACAGUCAGGACUGAGGAACCAGCACCCCAGAGGACCUGCAACUCCCCAGCACUCACACCUUGAGUCAAGGCUGAGCUGCACAAGCCGCUUCAGAAUGGAAAGAGGAAUCCCCAUGCUCUGGCUGAUGGGAUGUCUCUGGGAUCAGGCAUGCUGAGCUGAGAGGAGCCGAACUGGCACAUGAACCCAGGGACAACAGGGAGGUGUGCGAUGAUGGUGCAACAGGAGACCUGGCUCACAGUGCUUUUCCCUUGCACUCCCUGCUGCGGGGAAAAGGAGAGGAAGGGUGGCUGUCCUGG